UCUUUCAGCACUGCACUUUGUCAGUCCAUCCUUGCUGUGUGUGUGUGUGUGAGAGAGAGAGAGCUUUUCUUUGACAUCUGUAUUCUAGGUGAUGUAGUGGUGUAAUAAUGUGUUGUAUUGUAGGUGAUGUAUUGGUGUAAUAAUGUGUUGUAUUGUAGAUAUGUAGUGGUGUAAUAAUGUGUUGUAUUCUAGGUGAUGUGGUGGUGUAAUAAUGUGUUGUAUUGUAGGUGAUGUAUUGGUGUAAUAAUGUGUUGUAUUGUAGAUAUGUAGUGGUGUAAUAAUGUGUUGUAUUCUAGGUGAUGUAGUGGUGUAAUAAUGUGAUGUAGUGGUGUAAUAAUGUGUUGUAUUGUAGGUGAUGUAGUGGUGUUGUAUUGUAGGUGAUGUAGUGGUGUAAUAAUGUGUUGUAUUGUAUGUGAUGUAGUGGUGUAAUAAUGUGAUGUAUUGUAUGUGAUGUAGUGGUGUAAUAAUGUGUUGUAUUGUAGGUGAUGUAGUGGUGUUGUAUUGUAGGUGAUGUAGUGGUGUAAUAAUGUGAUGUAUUGUAUGUGAUGUAGUGGUGUAAUAAUGUGUUGUAUUGUAGGUGAUGUAGUGGUGUUGUAUUGUAGGUGAUGUAGUGGUGUAAUAAUGUGUUGUAUAUGUGAUGUAGUGGUGUAAUAAUGUGCCUUAAGGCUCAGAACAUUCUUAGUCAAAGGUCAGGAAUUAACAGUGACCCAUUAAGCCAUGCAGAGACAUUCUCCAUCAGCAUGCCAGCUUUCCAUGUCAAAUUUGUCCUCAUUCAGUGCUGCCAGACAAAAAUGCAUCCAGUUACACGUUUUUUGAUGUUGUGGCUAUUGUAAUCGACUCUAAGGCAAGUGGGCUCAGACACUGAAAACGGUAUGUUUUUCCAGGCAAAGGUUCCUCUCUGGAUUGUAUAUAUACAGCUCUUGCGAUUAUUUUAGGGGAUGUGACAAAUGUAAAAAUGUCCUUAAGGUUUAACCAGACUUUUUUCUCUCUCAUUUAAUCAUUUGUAAUAAAAUCAUAGGAUAACGUGAAUUCAAAAUUCAGAUACGAUCGCCUAUGACCACUAGGGGGCAAUUCAUUUCAAUGUACCGUUGUCUCGACCACCUACCAGCUAGAUGGCGCUCACCUUACUGCUGUCCCCGACCCACUCAGCAACAAUGGUAUUAAUGCCGAUUUAGGUUCUCUGUUGUGUUCCUUUCCUCCAUGUUCUCAGUGGUCAGUACUUCUCAUCAAGGUAUCAAGGUCGUUGCAGUGAUG
ensembl:lncRNA